rnacentral:rRNA from 1 species
UACGGAGGGUGCGAGCGUUGUUCGGAAUCACUGGGCGUAAAGGGCGCGUAGGUGGCCUUCUAAGUCGAACGUGAAAUCCCUGGGCUCAACCCAGGAACUGCGUCCGAUACUGGAAGGCUUGAAUCCGGGAGAGGGAUGCGGAAUUCCAGGUGUAGCGGUGAAAUGCGUAGAUAUCUGGAGGAACACCGGUGGCGAAGGCGGCAUCCUGGACCGGCAUUGACGCUGAGGCGCGAAAGCUAGGGGAGCAAACGGG